rnacentral:snoRNA from 1 species
CCUGCUGCUAGAGGCGCUGCAGGUGUGGCUGCUGUGUCCCACGCCAGUAGGUGGGAGAGAGGAGUGAGGCUGGGUCUAUGCUCAGUGCUCAGACCUGAGAACACCUGACAUUCCCUGAAAAA